GACGAACGCUGGCGGCGUGCUUAACACAUGCAAGUCGAGCGGUAAGGCCCUUUCGGGGGUACACGAGCGGCGAACGGGUGAGUAACACGUGGGUGACCUGCCCUCAGCUCUGGGAUAAGCCCGGGAAACUGGGUCUAAUACUGGAUAUUACUCUGCGGUGCAUGCCGUGGGGUGGAAAGCCUUGUGCGGCUGGGGAUGGGCCCGCGGCCUAUCAGCUUGUUGGUGGGGUGAUGGCCACCAAGGCGACGACGGGUAGCCGGCCUGAGAGGGCGACCGGCCACACUGGGACUGAGACACGGCCCAGACUCCUACGGGAGGCAGCAGUGGGGAAUCUUGCGCAAUGGGCGAAAGCCUGACGCAGCGACGCCGCGUGAGGGAUGACGGCCUC
rnacentral:rRNA from 1 species